rnacentral:rRNA from 1 species
UACAGAGGUGGCUAGCGUUGCUCGGAAUCACUGGGCGUAAAGCGCACGUAGGCGGACUCUUAAGUCGGUGGUGAAAUCCUGGAGCUCAACUCCAGAACUGCCUUCGAUACUGAGAGUCUCGAGUCCGAGAGAGGUGAGUGGAACUGCGAGUGUAGAGGUGAAAUUCGUAGAUAUUCGCAAGAACACCAGUGGCGAAGGCGGCUCACUGGCUCGGUACUGACGCUGAGGUGCGAAAGCGUGGGGAGCAAACAGG